GAAUAUGGGGGGACCAUCCUCCAAGGCUAAAUACUCCUGACUGACCGAUAGUGAACCAGUACCGUGAGGGAAAGGCGAAAAGAACCCCGGCGAGGGGAGUGAAAAAGAACCUGAAACCGUGUACGUACAAGCAGUGGGAGCACGCUUAGGCGUGUGACUGCGUACCUUUUGUAUAAUGGGUCAGCGACUUAUAUUCUGUAGCAAGGUUAACCGAAUAGGGGAGCCGAAGGGAAACCGAGUCUUAACUGGGCGUUAAGUUGCAGGGUAUAGACCCGAAACCCGGUGAUCUAGCCAUGGGCAGGUUGAAGGUUGGGUAACACUAACUGGAGGACCGAACCGACUAAUGUUGAAAAAUUAGCGGAUGACUUGUGGCUGGGGGUGAAAGGCCAAUCAAACCGGGAGAUAGCUGGUUCUCCCCGAAAGCUAUUUAGGUAGCGCCUCGUGAAUUCAUCUCCGGGGGUAGAGCACUGUUUCGGCAAGGGGGUCAUCCCGACUUACCAACCCGAUGCAAACUGCGAAUACCGGAGAAUGUUAUCACGGGAGACACACGGCGGGUGCUAACGUCCGUCGUGAAGAGGGAAACAACCCAGACCGCCAGCUAAGGUCCCAAAGUCAUGGUUAAGUGGGAAACGAUGUGGGAAGGCCCAGACAGCCAGGAUGUUGGCUUAGAAGCAGCCAUCAUUUAAAGAAAGCGUAAUAGCUCACUGGUCGAGUCGGCCUGCGCGGAAGAUGUAACGGGGCUAAACCAUGCACCGAAGCUGCGGCAGCGACGCUUAUGCGUUGUUGGGUAGGGGAGCGUUCUGUAAGCCUGUGAAGGUGUACUGUGAGGUAUGCUGGAGGUAUCAGAAGUGCGAAUGCUGACAUAAGUAACGAUAAAGCGGGUGAAAAGCCCGCUCGCCGGAAGACCAAGGGUUCCUGUCCAACGUUAAUCGGGGCAGGGUGAGUCGACCCCUAAGGCGAGGCCGAAAGGCGUAGUCGAUGGGAAACAGGUUAAUAUUCCUGUACUUGGUGUUACUGCGAAGGGGGGACGGAGAAGGCUAUGUUGGCCGGGCGACGGUUGUCCCGGUUUAAGCGUGUAGGCUGGUUUUCCAGGCAAAUCCGGAAAAUCAAGGCUGAGGCGUGAUGACGAGGCACUACGGUGCUGAAGCAACAAAUGCCCUGCUUCCAGGAAAAGCCUCUAAGCAUCAGGUAACAUCAAAUCGUACCCCAAACCGACACAGGUGGUCAGGUAGAGAAUACCAAGGCGCUUGAGAGAACUCGGGUGAAGGAACUAGGCAAAAUGGUGCCGUAACUUCGGGAGAAGGCACGCUGAUAUGUAGGUGAAGUCCCUCGCGGAUGGAGCUGAAAUCAGUCGAAGAUACCAGCUGGCUGCAACUGUUUAUUAAAAACACAGCACUGUGCAAACACGAAAGUGGACGUAUACGGUGUGACGCCUGCCCGGUGC
rnacentral:rRNA from 1 species